rnacentral:ncRNA from 1 species
AUCAUUCAAGUGUCUGCCCUAUCAACUUUCGUCGGUACGGUAUUUGCCUACCGAGGUUCUUACGGGUGACGGGGAAUCAGGGUUCGAUUCCGGAGAGGGAGCCUGAGAAACGGCUACCACAUCCAAGGAAGGCAGCAGGCGCGCAAAUUACCCAUUCCCGACGCGGGGAGGUAGUGACGAAAAAUAACAAUGCAGGACUCGUUCGAGGCCCUGUAAUUGGAAUGAGUACACUUUAAAAGCUUUAACGAGUAUCCAUUGGAGGGCAAGUCUGGUGCCAGCAGCCGCGGUAAUUCCAGCUCCAAAAGUAUAUAUUUAAGUUGUUGCGGUUAAAAAGCUCGUAGUUGGAUUUUGGGCGCAGGCGGCCGGUCCGUCGCAAGGCGUGUACUGGACGUCCUGGCCUUCCCUCCGGUUCUCCGCCGGUGCUCUUGACUGAGUGUCGGCGGCGGCCGGAACGUUUACUUUGAAAAAAUUAGAGUGUUCAAAGCAGGCUCUCGAGCCUGGAUAAUGGUGCAUGGAAUAAUGGAAUAGGACCUCGGUUCUAUUUUGUUGGUUUUCGGAGCGCGAGGUAAUGAUUAAGAGGGACAGACGGGGGCAUUCGUACUGUGCCGUUAGAGGUGAAAUUCUUGGAUCGGCGCAAGACGAACGACUGCGAAAGCAUUUGCCAAGAAUGUUUUCUUUAAUCAAGAGCGAAAGUCGGAGGUUCGAAGACGAUCAGAUACCCGUCCUAGUUCUGACUAUAAAC